AUCAGCGGCCCGAGACCGCGGAUUUAAACCAAUCACAUGCUAUCACUCGAGGAAAGUAAGGAAGAAGCCCGGCUCUUUCUAUCAACCACCAAUCCAAACUCAUCUUUCGCGGGCAUUGGCCAAUGACCGCUGACCGGUCCCUCGGGACCUGGAGACAGCCGCUCGCGCCUGCGCUCGUGUAUUGGGCCAAUGAGAGUGCGCCGAUGCUUCGAUUUCGGGCUUCUCCUACGUCCCUCCUGCUCUCGAGGAUUUCGGCCAAUAGGAUCGAGGCGCUGCAUCCCUGAGCAACAAUAAAUGGAAGGGAGCGGGCGGGCAGACGGGAUAGGGCGAUAGGAAAAAGACCACAGGCGGGAAUUUCUUUUGCACCAGCAGUGCUUUUCUCUCUUCUCUUUUUUUUUUCAAAAGUAACAUGGCUCAAGGAUCCCCAUUCAAGAGACCAGAGUGACAGUUUGGAUCUCCCUCUCCACUUCUCCUUUGGAAUAAUGAGGGAUAUUCCCUAGCAACCCUAUUCCAAACAUCUCUUUUGGACUCCCCCCCCCAAAGCUCCCGACUACAAUUCCCAUGCUGCAACACAACCCAGAGCGAGGGACACGAGAACUUGCGCGUUGUGUUCUGGGAUGUGUAGUUUCCCUGGGGGUCAAAAGUUGUUGAGGGAGUAGUUCUUGGUGUGAGGCAUGCUGGGAAUUGUAGUCUAUUGUGCUUUACACCUGGCCUUUAAAGAGAAAGAUUCCAGACUGCUGGAGUUUUCCCCCCGGACCUGCGAAGUCUUCCCCAUAUCCACAGUAGAAGAGGUGGAGGACCUCAGGAAGGGCCCCUUCGUUGCCAUGUGAUCCUAAACAUCUUCAGAAACACGGACUAUCAGAGAAUUACUAUAAAUGAUCACAGGAAAGAAGUCUUCUCAGUCCUUAAGGGGAAUGGUCAAGGAAAGAACUGUGGCUAUUGAAUUUAGUUAACCCCAAGCUAUAUUUUAAGUAUUAUAAUCAUUUCUGUCUUCAGAAUUCCUAUAAAUGUCAAAUCAUCUUAAGGUAGAGAGUCGUAUCAAAGGACAUGGAAGGCUUUUGCCCAUUUGGACCUCUCUUUUUCAAAGCUAGAAAUGCUCGGAUAUAGUAGAAUAUUAAUGGAAUAAAAUGGAUUCUGGCAGAUCUAAGCCUAAAAUGCAAAA